CGCCAUCGAAUGAGGCAAGACUACCCGCUGAACUUAAGCAUAUCACUAAGCGGAGGAGAAGAAACUAACCAGGAUGCCCCUAGUAAUGGCGAAUGAAGCGGGCUGAGCUCACGCUGCCAAUCUGGAGGCCUCGCGUAUGCAGCGCCCCCCGAAUUGUGGUCUAGAGAGGCGUUAUCGGCCGCGCCCGCUGCUCAAGUCCCUUGGAACAGGGUGUCGGAGAGGGUGAGAAUCCCGUACCGUGGCGGGUUGCGGCCUUACGAUGCGUCCUCGUCGAGUCGGGUUGCUUGGGAUUGCAGCUUGAAUUGGGUGGUAAAUUCCAUCUAAAGCUAAAUACUGGCGAGAGACCGAUAGCGAACAAGUACCGUGAGGGAAAGAUGCAAAGAACUUUGAAAAGAGAGUCAAAGAGUGCUUGAAAUCGGUAGGAGGAAACCCGGAUGGGCCCGGCUUCGGCGCGCCGACUCAGCCUGGGGUUCUCCCCAGGUGCACUUCUGCGCGCCGGGUCAGCCGCGCCUCGGCGCCGCGCCUCAACCCGGGAGCGGGGCUUUACGGCCAGCUCCCGUCCUGGCGCGGCCCGGGGCCCGGCUGACGGAACGGGCCCCUCCGACCCGUCUAGAAACACGGACCAAGGAGUCUGACACGUGUGCGAGUACCCGGGUGGCAAGCCCGCGUGCGGAAUGAAAGUGAAGGGCAUGCCCUGCCAACCGACCUUGACCUGCUGUGAGGGGUUUGAGUGGAGCACACCUGUCGGGACCCGAAAGAUGGUGAACUAUGCCUGGGUAGGGUGAAGCCAGAGGAAACUCUGGUGGAGGCUCGUAGCGAUACUGACGUGCAAAUCGUUCGUCGAAUCUGGGUAUAGGGGCGAAAGACUAAUCGAACCAUCUAGUAGCUGGUUCCCUCCGAAGUUUCCCUCAGGAUAGCUUGAACGCAACGGUUUUGUCAGGUAAAGCGAAUGAUUAGAGGCCUGUGGGCUGAAACAGCUUGCACCUAUUCUCAAACUUUAAAUGGGCAAGAGGCCCGGGAUGCUUGAGUGAUCCCGGGCGGCGAACGGCGCGUUCAAAGUGGGCCAUUUUUGGUAAGCAGAACUGGCGAUGCGGGAUGAACCGAACGCCGCGCUAAGGUACCCAAGUGUCCGCUCAUCAGAUACCACAAAAGGCGUUGGUACCUCCAGACAGCAGGACGGUGGCCAUGGAAGUCGGAACCCGCUAAGGAGUGUGUAACAACUCACCUGCCGAAGGUACUAGCCCUGAAAAUGGAUGGCGCUCAAGCGGACCACCGAUGCGCGGCCGCCGGCGCGAGCGCGAGGCGCCGGCGAGUAGGAGGGCGCGGGGCUCGCGGCGCAGCCUUGGGCGCGAGCCUGGGUGAAGCGGGCCCCGGUGCAGAUCUUGGUGGUAGUAGCAAAUAUUCAAAUGAGAACUUUGAAGACUGAAGUGGAGAAAGGUUCCGUGUGAACAGCAGUUGGACACGGGUGAGCCGACCCUAAGAGACAGGAAAACUCCGCCGAACGCGGCUGGUUCUGUCAGCCCGUCCGUCGAAAGGGAAUCGGGUUAAUAUUCCCGAGCCAGCGCGUGGAUGGUGGGCGGCGACGCGAACGAACCCGGAGACGCCGGCGGGAGCCCUGGGAAGAGUUCUCUUUUCUUCUUAACUGCCUCCUGCCCUGGAAUCGGUUUAGCCGGAGCGAGGGCUACACGGCAGGCAAAGCACCCUAAGUCUUGGGGUGUCCGGCGCGCUCCCGACGGCCCGUGAAAAUCCGGGGGAGCGGUUCGUUCUCACGCCUGGUCGUACUCAUAACCGCAUCAGGUCUCCAAGGUGAACAGCCUCUAGUCGAUAGAGCAAUGUAGGUAAGGGAAGUCGGCAAAAUGGUUCCGCAACCUCGGGAGAAGGAAUGGCUCUGAAGGCUGGGCGCAGGGGUCCUAGGCUCGAGGCCGGCUGGCUGCGCGGGGACUACGGCCUCACGGCUGCGGAUCCCGCGCGGCCGUCCGGCGGACGGCCUAGGAGCGCUCCGGCUCUCCCUGCGCGACGAACAGCCGCUUCAGAACUGGCGCGGACAAGGGGAAUCCGACUGUUUAAUUAAAACAAAGCAUUGCGAUGGCCCGCGAGGGUGCUGACGCAAUGUGAUUUCUGCCCAGUGCUCUGAAUGUCAAAGUGAAGAAAUUCAACCAAGCGCGGGUAAACGGCGGGAGUAACUAUGACUCUCUUAAGGUAGCCAAAUGCCUCGUCAUCCAAUUAGUGACGCGCAUGAAUGGAUUCGUGAGAUUCCCACUGUCCCUAUCUACUGUCUAGCGAAACCACAGCCAAGGGAACGGGCUUGGAAGAAUCAGCGGGGAAAGAAGACCCUGUUGAGCUUGACUCUAGUCUGUUACUGUGGAACGACUUGAUGGGUGUAGAAUAUGCGGGAGGGGCAACCCGACAGUGAAAUACCGCAACCGUCAACGUUGUUUUACUUACUCGGUGGCGCGGAGGGAGGCUCGCCUCACUUCUGGAUCCAAGCCGCUUCGUGCGCGCGAUCCGCGUCGGGGACACUAACAGGUGGGGAGUUUGGCUGGGGCGGCACGUCUGUUAAAAAAUAACGCAGGCGCCCGAUUUUGAGCUCAAUGAGAACAGAAAUCUCAUGUGGACCGAAAGGGGAAAAGCUCGGUUGAUUUUGAUUUUCAGUACGAAUACAAACCGCGAAAGCGUGGCCUAUCGAUCCUCUCGUCUUUGGGAAUUUCAAGCUAGAGGUGUCAGAAAAGUUACCACAGGGAUAACUGGCUUGUGGCUGCCAAGCGUUCAUAGCGACGUAGCUUUUUGAUCCUUCGAUGUCGGCUCUUCCUAUCACUGCCUCGCAGCGGGGGCCAAAUGCAGGAUUGUUCACCCACCAACAGGGAACGUGAGCUGGGUUUAGACCGUCGUGAGACAGGUUAGUUUUACCCUACUGCUGUCUGUUUUUCUACGGUAAUUUGGUUCAGUACGAGAGGAACCACCAAUUCGCAUCAUCGGUAUAGCCGCCGCCGGAAACGGCGAUGCGGCGAAGCUGCCAUGCGCCGGAUUAUAACUGAACGCCUCUAAGUUAGAAUCCAUGCCGGAAGGAAAGCCACCUACCGGCCCGGGGACGCCACGAGCAACGGUAGCACUGCCUGAGCCGCGAGCGACCACAAUUCACGGACCCGGGCCGACGAAUCCCUUGCAGACGACUUGAAUAAGGAACGGGGUAUUGUACGCGGCAGAGUGGCCUUGUUGCCACGAUCCGCUGAGAUUCAGCCUUGGUUCUGACGAUUUGU
rfam:Emiliania huxleyi CCMP1516 EMIHTscaffold_152_Cont4386, whole genome shotgun sequence.